rnacentral:rRNA from 1 species
GAAUCUUGGACAAUGGGCGCAAGCCUGAUCCAGCCAUGCCGCGUGAGUGAUGAAGGCCCUAGGGUUGUAAAACUCUUUCGCCGAGGACGAUAAUGACGGUACUCGGAGAAGAAGCUCCUGCUACCUUCGUGCCAGCAGCCGCCGUCAUACGAAGGGGGCUAGAGUUGUUCGGAUUUACUGGGCGUAAAGCGCGUGUAGGCGGGGCGUUAAGUUGGGGGUGAAAUCCCGAGGCUCAACCUCGGAACUGCCUUCAAAACUGGCGACCUGGACUCAAGCAGAGGCAAGUGGAAUUGCGAGUGUAGAGGUGAAAUUCGUAGAUAUUCGCAGGAACACCAGUGGCGAAGGCGACUUGCUGGGCUUGUAGUGACGCUGAGACGCGAAAGCGUGGGGAGCAAACAGG